UACAGAGGUCUCAAGCGUUGUUCGGAUUUAUUGGGCGUAAAGAGCUCGUAGGCGGUUCGAUAAGUCGGACGUGAAAUCUCCACGCUCAACGUGGAGGGGCCGUUCGAUACUGUCGUGACUCGAGUCCGGUAGGGGAGUGUGGAAUUCCCGGUGUAGCGGUGAAAUGCGCAGAGAUCGGGAGGAACACCCGUAGCGAAGGCGGCACUCUGGGCCGGUACUGACGCUGAGGAGCGAAAGCGUGGGGAGCAAACAGG
rnacentral:rRNA from 1 species